AAUUCGUUUUAGAUAAUUUUUCUAGCAUUCGCACCCAUUCUGUCUCUUAAUCAGGUUAGAUUGAAUCGAUGGGUCAAAAAAACUUGCCACCCUUACAAUCAAGUAUUUAUUUCAUUAAUACCAUGAUAUUAUCCAUCCAUGGAAAAGAUACGAUGGAUUUCAGGGCUUAGAACCAAUUUCUCCAUAUUUCGAAACAAUCACUUUGUAGAUGCAUGCGCUUCAGGUGGAGAAAAGAAAAAUAUUUAUAUGUACUUAAAAUUAUACACUCACAAUAGCAGAAGCAGCUAA
rnacentral:lncRNA from 1 species